AUGAUAGGUCUAUUUUGGAAUUGUAGGGGGGCAAGGAAAAAAGGGAUGAAAACAUGUCUUUCCCAUAUGAUUAAGGACCAUUCCCUUGACUUUAUGUGUCUGCAAGAAAUGCUUAAGAAGAAUUUUUUGGAUAGUUAUUUUAGGAAGCUCGAUCCAUACAACUUAUUUGAGUGGGAAUGGAUCCCCUCAAUUGGCAAGGCCAGAGGCAUUCUGUGUGGGGUUCAGAAGGAGAAGUUUGAGGUAGUUGCUUGGAGAAAAGGCAGGUUCAUUCUCCAGGUAUCUCUCUAUGAUAUUAAUAUAAAGAAGAUUUGGACUCUUUGCAGUGUUUAUGGAGCAGCCCAUGAGGGGGAUAAAAAUGAUUGGCUGAUUUCUGCUGCCAUAUUCAAACACCUUUGUUGA
rnacentral:rRNA from 1 species